ACCAAGGCAGCUCAGUCAGUAGAGCAUGAGGCUCUUAAUCUCAGGGUUGUGGAUUCAAGCCCCACUUUGGGCA
rnacentral:tRNA from 1 species